rnacentral:rRNA from 1 species
AAUCAACGCUGGCGGCGUGCCUCAGACAUGCAAGUCGAACGCGAAAGUUCCCUUCGGGGGGCGAGUAGAGUGGCGCACGGGUGAGUAACACGUAGGUAAUCUACCUUUGGGUGGGGAAUAACAGCCGGAAACGGCUGCUAAUACCGCAUAAUGCAGCGGCUCGACAUCGAGACAGUUGUUAAAGCGGGGGAUCGCAAGACCUCGCGCCUAAAGAGGAGCCUGCGGCGGAUUAGCUUGUUGGUGAGGUAAUGGCUCACCAAGGCAUCGAUCCGUAGCCGGCCUGAGGAGGGCGGUCGGCCACACUGACACUGACAUACGGGUCAGACUCC